rnacentral:tRNA from 1 species
GCCCCUGUAGCUCAACUGGAUAGAGCAUCGGGUUUCUACCCCGACGGUUGCAGGUUCGAGUCCUGUCAGGGGUACGA